CUCACAAUUGACCUAAUCCUAUUUCGAAAACAACUGAACUCCUCUCUCGUUCUCUCCACCAGUCCGCCGUCCCCAAUUUCCCUGCAACUCUUCUCGACUUCUCUCUCAUUCUCUCAGCCGCUGCCUCCGUUGUGAGACUGUUCCCCGAUUUCCCUCUAGGUCGUAGCUUCAUCCUCCAUCGGUCCAUCCCUCGAGUCUGCUCCAUCCCUACUCCGUUGCUUUGGUAGAUCUGCAAUUCCAACUAGUCAACGACGCCGUCGAUCACCUAAAAGGCUAAAAUCCGGCGGCUACCGCGGCCUCUUCUCUCAUAUCAAGGUUCGAGUGAAACAGAAACUGGAGCUUCCCCUUUUUUGCAGUCUUGUAGACAUUCUUGUGUAACUUCUGGAAGCUGAAUACAUAUAUCUGCAAUCUAGCACGGAUUGAAACGAAAUUGAAUCAAGUUGAAACGAUGGCUUUUGAAUCAAGGUUAUGGCUUAUUUGUUCCUUUUAUUUUUCUUUUGAAGUUGGUGUUUUGAUUUAUUGGACAAGAGUUGAAUGAGUUAAUUUUUUUUAUGCGUUUUGAAGAACCCAGUUGUUCCUUUGAUUAGAUGUUGGGGUCAGAAUGAUUAGAUAUUGUUUUAUGCAUGUUUUGAGUUCUUAUUGUCACAAUGAAUAUAUAACUGGUACUAGUAACUAGUUCUUAGUAACAAUCUAGUUGCUGUAUGCUAUUUUUUUUCUAGUUCUUCUGUUUACCAAAACAUGUUUGCUGGUUCUUUAAAUCUCUAUUUAAAUGUGUAGGUACCAAGAUCAGUUGAAUCCAAUGAGUUAUCAACAAAUCUGCAGCCUCAAUUUUGAAGGGCUGCAGGCAUAUGAUAAAAGGGAAGAGUAAAGAAGCUUUCAUAUAAUUUAGAGAACCAUUGAAGUCCAAGUUCGCUGCAUAUAAGUUGUAUUAAUAAUUUACUUUUGUUUUAAGUUGUAAUUGGGAAUGUUCCUAUACUUAAUUUGUAUUCUCUGUCUUUUUAUUUCAAUACAUUAAAUCGGGGCGUG